rnacentral:rRNA from 1 species
UACGUAGGAUGCGAGCGUUGUCCGGAAUUACUGGGCGUAAAGAGCUCGUAGGCGGAGAAGUACGUUUGGAAGUAAAUCUCACGGCUCAACCGUGAGCUCAUUCCGAAUACGGCUUAUCUUGAGGUCAGCAGGGGAGAAUGGAAUUCCCAGUGUAGCGGUGAAAUGCGUAGAUAUUGGGAAGAAUACCGGUGGCGAAGGCGAUUCUCUGGGCUGUCUCUGACGCUGAGGAGCGAAAGCGUGGGUAGCGAAC